rnacentral:rRNA from 1 species
GAAGGGCUUCGUGGUCGAGAGGGAAACAACCCAGACCAUCUGCUAAGGUCCCGAAGUGAUGCUUAGUCACUAAGGAAGUUGAAUUGCCGAGACAGCCAGGAUGUUGGCUUAGAAGCAGCCACCAUUUAAAAAGUGCGUAACAGCUUACUGGUCGAGCAGUUCUGCGCCGAUAAUGAACGGGAGUAAGCAUCACACCGAAGCAGUGGAUUUGCCGCAAGGCAAGUGGUAGGAGAGCGCUGUAC